AUGAUUCUAUGAAUAUGAGUGCUCAUGCAUAAUGAAUAAUAUGACUCUUUGAAUAGCAGUGAACUGAAGUCAAACCAUUUACUCACAAAUACAUUCACAAAUCUAUUUGUUAUACAAUAGCUCUAUUUAAUAUCUUAAACCCAAAUCAUUUCUAUGCAAAAUUCUUUGCAUUGCUAUGAAAACUUGCAUGCGUCUUUUGAAAAUGUUUGAAAGAUGCAAUGCAGCAUCUCCUGACUUCCAACCCUGUGGCCUACUUAGUAGAAUAUACUUCCUCCUUCUAAAGGGGAGGAUAUAUUUCUCUGGUAAGAGUUUAGCCAAACUGUUAUAAAACAAGAUUGUUCAAUCGUUUAGAUUCAUUCAGAAACCAGUUUAACUUCCUCAAAGACUGCAUUGCAACAUAUUCUGAGCUUUUCCCAGACUCUUGAAGUCCGGUUUGAGCUCAGAAUUUUUUUAAAGGACAAAUAAUCACAGUUUGGAGCCUUCAAACAACAUUAGAGUAAUAAGAAGGAAGGAAAAAAUGUCUGGAAAUUAAUAGAUCAGUUAAAUUGCCACCAUUUUUGCCUUUGUUCAGUUAAGGGGAGAUUUCAAAAGCCCAAAUGGAAAUUAGGAACCUAAAUUCCAUUGACUUUCAGUCUUUUCUGUCUUGGAAAAUCUUCCCCUUACUUCACAGCUAUUCCUGGUUAAAAUACGGUGCUGUGCCUGUGUGUCAGGUUGGACACAGGUGGAGAGGUUGGUAUGGGGGAACCUGCACCACUGCUUUUGGGAUGUACUGUGAGGUGGGCACACAGAGAAUGGCUGGUCCCAGGGCUCUCCUUUCCCAAGUUUUAGAGGCCCAAUCAAUCAAACAGUGAAGUCAGGGGACAGAUUCCCAUUGAUUUCAGUGUGAGCUGGAUCAGGCCUUCACUUCAUUUAAACAGGGCAAUGACGUGACUGUAAGUCAUAGUAAAAUGUUUGAUUCAUUUCAGAAAUGUUAAAGAAAUCCGUUUUUCAAUCUUCAUUCCUUCAGCAGAAGAGGAGGAAAUAUAAGUAAUGUACAGUAUCUGACAACAAAGAAAGCUGUUCAGUUCUUGUUCUGUGAGGCAUACUGGGACAUAGCUCCGGCAAAUACUGCAGUGAGAAUGCUUCAGAGUUCACCCAAUAAGAAAUACUGCUUCCGGUUUCUGAAAUGAUCAGUUGCUGGCAUGUGUCACUUUUAGAGGGCACUUUCAGAAGGAAGACCAUCUUUUUAUAAACAAGAUCAAAUCCUGACCGCUGAUGGCACCCUAUGAAGCCACGGAUGCCUGCUUGCCCACAUCCAGGCUCAGCAUUUAGUCCUCAGAAGACUAACUCCAGGCUCCUCUCCAUUCCAACUUCCUCCUAUUUUGUUGCAACAAUUCUCUGUUGAAGAGAAAGGUGCUUUCCAGGGACAGCAGCUGUAGAAAACAUUAGUAGACUGAUGCAAAACGGUCUAUGGAGUCUAUUAGCAUCCAGAUGUGCAGGGAGUAAUGGGCUUAAAUCCCUGUGCAUCACAAUGAGAAUAUGCUCCCUGUUUAAUGGUGUGUCUUUUAAAUAAUCUUCUCAAUUUAUUGAUAAAAAUACCUCAUGGUACAAUUGCUACUGCACUGUGAAAGAAAUACAGUGUUUAACAAAGACACAUAGAACCUAAUCCUCCCCUCACUUGCACUGAUGUGAAUCAGGAGUAUCACCAUUGAUAUCAGUUAAAUUACGACUCUAUAAGACUCAUGUGAGAGGAGAAUCAAGGCCCAGGGGCAGCGAGUUGUAUGGGCCUGUGGUGACUGGCCUCCAGCAAAUUCAGGGCCUGGGGGGCCCAGCUCCACCAGUGUUCAGGGCUGCGUCUGUUCCCCGGUCCCGCCUGCCACCCCUGGAGUGUCCCCCGGCCCCACCUGCCGCCCAUGCGUGCCUCCCCCGAGCGUCCCUGCCUGCCCUGGGCAACGGGCAGCUGCCCCCUGAAGCUCUGUGCUGCGCUUCCUCACUGGCUGCUGCCGGCUACAAGGGAGCAACGCCGGGGGCAGGCUGAGGCAGUGGCUGUGCCUGCGGAGGGAGGAGAUUCAUGGCAGCCCCCACCUCAGCAGGCGACUCCGAGUCAACUCUGCGGGGAGGGAGGCUUAUCCUGGCUGGACCUCCUGAGCAGCAGCCUGGGGGAGGCUUGGAUGAGUGUUGUGCCGGGGCGGGGCUGGGGGGGGGGUCCCCUCCCCUCUCUCCCAAGCCUGCACCCGAAACCCCCUCCUGCAUCCAAACUUCCUCCCAGAGGUGGGGGCGGGCGGGACUUGGACCUGUUCUGGGCACCACCAAAAAUUAUACAAAGCUGCCAUCCCUGUCAAGGCCACUUACAGUUUAUACCCUACAGUGGAGUAAAUCCAGAGCAAUCCAAUGGAAUUAUUCCACAUUUACAUUGGGGUAGCUGAAAAAAGAGUUUAGUCCAGUGGUGGGCAACCAGCAUCCUGUGGGCCACAUGCAGCCUGUCAGGACAAUCC